rnacentral:tRNA from 1 species
GGGCUGGUAGUUCAACCCGGUAGAAUGCCCGCCUGGCUUGCGGGAGGCUCGGGGUUCAAAUCCCCGCCAGUCCA